GAGUUUGAUCGUGGUUCAGAAUCAACGCUGGCGGCGUGCCUAACACAUGCAAGUCGCACGAGAAAGUGGAGCAAUCCAUGAGUAAAGUGGCGCACGGGUGAGUAACACGUGAAUGAUCUACCUCCGAGUGGGGAAUAACUGAGAGAAAUCUUAGCUAAUACCGCAUAAUACCCACGGGUCAAAGCAGCAAUGCGCUUGGAGAGGAGUUCGCGGCCGAUUAGUUAGUUGGCGGGGUAAUGGCCCACCAAGACGAUGAUCGGUAUCCGGCCUGAGAGGGCGCACGGACACACUGGAACUGAAACACGGUCCAGACUCCUACGGGAGGCGGCAGUGGGGAAUUUUGCGCAAUGGGGGAAACCCUGACGCAGCAACGCCGCGUGGAGGAUGAAGCCCCUUGGGGUGUAAACUCCUUUCGAUCGGGAAGAUAAUGACGGUACCGAUAUAAGAAGCCCCGGCUAACUUCGUGCCAGCAGCCGCUGUAAC
rnacentral:rRNA from 1 species